rnacentral:sRNA from 1 species
CCCAGGGCUUGCGCCCUGGGCUACUGUCUAACGCCGCUUCGCGGCU